rnacentral:rRNA from 1 species
ACGAACGCUGGCGGCGUGCUUCAUACAUGCAAGUCGAACGAGAAGCUGACUUCGGUCAGUGGAAAGUGGCGGACGGGUGAGUAAUAUGUAGAGAAUCUGCCCUUGAGUGGGGGACAACAGAGGGAAACUUCUGCUAAUACCCCAUAUGAGCUAACUUGAAAUAGUUAUCUUGAAAACUCCGGUGCUCAAGGAUGAGUCUGCAUCUGAUUAGCUAGUUGGCGGUGUAAUGGACCACCAAGGCGACGAUCAGUAGCUGGUUUGAGAGGAUGAUCAGCCACAAUGGGACUGAGACACGGCCCAUACUCCUACGGGAGGCAGCAGUAGGGAAUUUUGCGCAAUGGGCGAAAGCCUGACGCAGCAGCGCCGCGUGAACGAUUAAGCCCUUCGGGGUGUAAAGUUCUGUCAGUAGGGACGAAUUUUGACGGUACCUACAGAGGAAGCACCGGCUAACUCCGUGCCAGCCGCUGC